rnacentral:lncRNA from 1 species
UGUGGCUAUAUUCAGCAUUUGGUGUUUUAGUGAUCUCAACUGUGGAAUUCAACACAUCAGAAUUCUCAAGGGUUUGUGACACGGCUUUCUCAUGAGACACAUUGCUAUGGAAGUAUGAUGGGCAUGGGACUUCCCUCCAUGUUCUCAAUUAGUUCCUUGCAAGUGUUAUUUGUGAUUCUAGAAACUAAGAAUAGUCAGCUGCUGAGACUAAACAAAAGAGAGGAAAUGUGGGUAUUGGGAGGGGGGGUUGACAUGAGGCCCUCAUCUAAAGUUUUGGCGAAUUUAGAUGGAUUCUAAUGGGCAUGAUCAGAGAAUAACUGAUUAAGGUGAUGGUCAAAGAAAACACUGACCAAUGUCCUGACCCUCAAGGUAGAGAGUAUAUGAUGAAAUCCUUCUUCUACAACACCUUGAGACCAAGCACUUAAAAUUUCUAGGCAACAACUCUUUAUAAAAUGACAAAGUUGGAACAGUGAUCAUGGCCAGAUACAAAGAGGAAAUGGAUCUCAUUUUUUGUAGCAGUCUUCGUCAGAAAACAUCCUGCAUGCUUAUGGGCAUAAAGUUAAGUUCCAGUGUAAGCAUUUUCCUCAUAAAAGUUGCAUUGCCACUUGGCUUGCUACUCUCUCAGCUAUUGGAGGUCUUCCCUGGGAACAAUAGAAGAGGCUCUUUUCCAGAGUUAAUGGAAGCCCUGUGGCAAAGGGGCACCUGGGCUGCAUAUGCAAAUUGA